CUUCCAAUCCAUGUAUCUGUAAGACAUUCUGCAUGAAAACCACUAAAGUCCCCUGAUUUUAACUCCUUUUCAAGAAUAAGUUUCAUAUCUUCAUUUUUCUUCCCUUUCAAUAACUGUAGAACUUUAUUCUGAAUGAUAUCCGAAGUGUCAUUUCCUUGGUAUAACUUCUCAACAUUAUUGAGCGCAUUCAACCAGAUAUUAUACCAUUCCACUGUAUCAGUGUCUUCAGUUACUGUCCAGGCAAAUUUUGCCAUUGGAUGCUUUUCAUACAGAGGUCUCUUAAUCUUCUCAAGUUCAAGGACACCUUCAGG
rnacentral:misc_RNA from 1 species